rnacentral:rRNA from 1 species
UACGUAGGGUGCAAGCGUUUGUCCGGAAUUUAUUGGGCGUAAAGAGCUCGUAGGCGGUUUGUCGCGUCUGCUGUGAAAACUGGAGGCUCAACCUCCAGCCUGCAGUGGGUACGGGCAGACUAGAGUGCGGUAGGGGAGAUUGGAAUUCCUGGUGUAGCGGUGGAAUGCGCAGAUAUCAGGAGGAACACCGAUGGCGAAGGCAGAUCUCUGGGCCGUAACUGACGCUGAGGAGCGAAAGCGUGGGGAGCGAACAGG